rnacentral:rRNA from 1 species
GUAGGUGGCAAGCGUUGUCCGGAAUUAUUGGGCGUAAAGCGCGCGCAGGCGGUUCUUUAAGUCUGAUGUGAAAGCCCACGGCUCAACCGUGGAGGGUCAUUGGAAACUGGAGAACUUGAGUACAGAAGAGGAAAGCGGAAUUCCACGUGUAGCGGUGAAAUGCGUAGAGAUGUGGAGGAACACCAGUGGCGAAGGCGGCUUUCUGGUCUGUAACUGACGCUGAGGCGCGAAAGCGUGGGGAGCAAGCAGGAUUAGAUACCCUGGUAGUCCACGCCGUAAACGAUGAGUGCUAAGUGUUAGGGGGUUUCCGCCCCCCUUAGUGCUGCAGCUAACGCAUUAAGCACUCCGCCUGGGAGUACGGCCGCAAGGCUG